GAGAGAGAGAGAGAGAGAGAGAGAGAGAGAGAGAGAGAGAGCAUCCACAAGGUGAAGUGCAUUGAGAAACCGAAAUGCCUGGCAUCGAAGUAGUGUAUCGGAAAUGGAGAAUGAAAAAGGAGGAAGGGAGUUACGUGCAUGGGCAGCGGUUACCAUGCCGUUUCCGUGCUUGAUGUAGGGAACUUCUUGUACGUGGGGAGGAGCGGACAUGUGGGAAGAGAAAACAGUUGAGAGCAAAAAAGAAAAAAAGAAAAAAGAAAAACGGCACACGGAGAAAAGAGGGCGAGCAUGCAUAUCAGAAACAACAAAUAAAAGAAAUGGGAGGGAGGGAAAAACAUGAAAAGAAAAAGAAAUCCCUUACCUAAACGAUGUCGGUCACUAAAAGGCUAAUAUUUUCGCAGCCUCGGCCAAGUUAUGGGCCUGGGUAUUACAUUUCUAGAGUUGCAACAGCCCCCCACGGCCUCCUCCUUCUUGUUCCCACUACCGUAGCACCAUUGUGUGGCAAAGCCACUGCAAACGCCACCCUACACAACUGAAGCUGCCAGCCCCAGUGAGCACUACGCGAUUCCUAGACGUUUGUCCCGUAACACCCUUGCCGCACGCCCCUUCAUCAUAGAAGCUGAUCAGCUCGACCCAGCCACCAUAAGAAACUACCUCUGCCCCAUGAUAGCCCACUGCUCAGUCUUCUGCUGCCCUCUUAAGCCACUGACCCAAGGCCUAUCUGCUGCACCACCAAGUCGCUGUAGUUGGAAGCUGCUCUUUCUUUUCACCAUCGAAAAUAGCCCGUUUGUCUUAUUUUACUACUAAAAAAAAGAGCCAUUUUCCUCCAAACCAUAAGAUUUUCCUUGCUACCAUUAGGGCCACGACGCCACCUCUAGCAGCCACAGAAGUCGCCGGAGAACAAGCCACCAUAGCCUGGUCGACAUUCAGAACCGCCGUCACCUCUUGGCGAUCGUGUUCCUCUAUGUUGCGGACCACCCAAGACCGUCGCCAAGCCCCUGUUCCUCCGCUUGUUGCCUCUCCUUCUCGCGGAACCACAUGCAACGUGUCUGGGUUGGGAUGUAUAAAUAUGUGACCAUGUAUGAAAGAAAGAAAAAUCACAUGCAUAAAAGAUUUGGGACCCAUGUAUAAAAUAAAGAAAAGAAAUGAAGUACGUGGACGAAAAAAAAAAAAAAAGCAUUGGAUGAUUUAUGCGGAAAGAAAUCAAGUACAU